UACGUAGGGGGCAAGCGUUAUCCGGAAUCAUUGGGCGUAAAGCGCGUGUAGGCGGUUCCGUAAGUCCGCUCUGAAAGCCCAGGGCUCAACCCUGGGAGGCGGGUGGAUACUACGGAACUGGAGUACGGAAGAGGAAAUUGGAAUUCCUGGUGUAGCGGUGAAAUGCGCAGAUAUCAGGAGGAACACCAACAGCGAAGGCAGAUCUCUGGGACGUUACUGACGCUGAGACGCGAAAGCGUGGGGAGCAAACAGG
rnacentral:rRNA from 1 species